rnacentral:rRNA from 1 species
UGGGGAAUUUUGGACAAUGGGGGAAACCCUGAUCCAGCCAUCCCGCGUGUGCGAUGAAGGCCUUCGGGUUGUAAAGCACUUUUGGCAGGAAAGAAACGUCGCGGGUUAAUACCCCGCGAAACUGACGGUACCUGCAGAAUAAGCACCGGCUAACUACGUGCCAGCAGCCGCGGUAAUACGUAGGGUGCAAGCGUUAAUCGGAAUUACUGGGCGUAAAGCGUGCGCAGGCGGUUCGGAAAGAAAGAUGUGAAAUCCCAGAGCUUAACUUUGGAACUGCAUUUUUAACUACCGGGCUAGAGUGUGUCAGAGGGAGGUGGAAUUCCGCGUGUAGCAGUGAAAUGCGUAGAUAUGCGGAGGAACACCGAUGGCGAAGGCAGCCUCCUGGGAUAACACUGACGCUCAUGCACGAAAGCGUGGGGAGCAAACAGGAUUAGAUACCCUGGUAGUCCACGCCCUAAACGAUGUCAACUAGCUGUUGGGGCCUUCGGGCCUUGGUAGCGCAGCUAACGCGUGAAGUUGACCGCCUGGGGAGUACGGUCGCAAGAUUAAAACUUAAAUGAAUUGACGGGGGUCAUAGCUGUUUCCCU